rnacentral:rRNA from 1 species
CCAGACUCCUACGGGAGGCAGCAGUGGGGAAUAUUGCACAAUGGGGGAAACCCUGAUGCAGCGACGCCGCGUGAGUGAAGAAGUAUCUCGGUACGUAAAGCUCUAUCAGCAGGGAAGAUAAUGACGGUACCUGACCAAGAAGCCCCGGCUAACUACGUGCCAGCAGCCGCGGUAAUACGUAGGGGGCAAGCGUUAUCCGGAUUUACUGGGUGUAAAGGGAGCGUAGACGGCAGCACAAGUCUGGAGUGAAAUCCCGGGGCUUAACCCCGGAACUGCUUUGGAAACUGUGCGGCUGGAGUGCAGGAGGGGUAAGCGGAAUUCCUAGUGUAGCGGUGAAAUGCGUAGAUAUUGGGAGGAACACCAGUGGCGAAGGCGGCCUGCUGGACAUUAACUGACGCUGAGGCGCGAAAGCGUGGGGAGCAAACAGGAUUAGAUACCCCAGUAC